rnacentral:rRNA from 1 species
GCAAGUCGAACGCAAUCUUUUAACAAUGAGUGCUUGCACUCAGCGUUUUAAGUGCGAGUGGCGAACGGGUGAGUAACACGUGGGCAAUCUGCCCAAAAGUGGGGGAUAACACUUGGAAACAGGUGCUAAUACCGCAUCAACCGGCUGACCGCAUGGUCGGCCGGGCAAAGACGGCGUCAGCUGUCGCUUUUGGAUGAGCCCGCGGCGUAUUAACUAGUUGGUAAGGUAACGGCUUACCAAGGUGAUGAUACGUAGCCGAACUGAGAGGUUGAUCGGCCACAUUGGGACUGAGACACGGCCCAAACUCCUACGGGAGGCAGCAGUAGGGAAUCUUCCACAAUGGACGCAAGUCUGAUGGAGCAACGCCGCGUGUAUGAAGAAGGUCUUCGGAUCGUAAAAUACUGUUGUCAGAGAAGAACACGUGAUAGAGUAACUGCUAUGGCGCUGACGGUAUCUGACCAGCAAGUCACGGCUAACUAC